rnacentral:rRNA from 1 species
UACGAAGGGGGCAAACGUUGUUCGGAAUUACUGGGCGUAAAGGGCUCGUAGGCGGCCAACUAAGUCAGACGUGAAAUCCCUCGGCUUAACCGGGGAACUGCGUCCGAUACUGGAUGGCUUGGAUUUGGGAGAGGGAUGCGGAAUUCCAGGUGUAGCGGUGAAAUGCGUAGAUAUCUGGAGGAACACCGGUGGCGAAGGCGGCAUCCUGGACCAAUAUUGACGCUGAGGAGCGAAAGCCAGGGGAGCAAACGGG